rnacentral:rRNA from 1 species
UACGUAGGUGGCAAGCGUUGUCCGGAUUUACUGGGCGUAAAGAGCGCGCAGGCGGCUGGUCAAGUCCGAUGUGAAAUCUCCCGGCUUAACUGGGAAACUGCAUCGGAAACUGAUCGGCUUGAAGGUGGGAGAGGGUAGUGGAAUUCCCGGUGUAGUGGUGAAAUGCGUAGAUAUCGGGAGGAACACCAGUGGCGAAGGCGACUGCCUGGCCCAUUCUUGACGCUGAGGCGCGAAAGCUAGGGGAGCGAACGGG